AUUGAACGAUGGCGGCAGGCCUAACACAUGCAAGUCGAGCGGAGCGGCGGACGGGUGAGUAAUGCCUAGGAAUCUGCCUGGUAGUGGAGGGUAACGUCCGGAAACGGGACCUAAUACCGCAUACUAUCAUAUGAGACUAGGUCGGAUGAGCUAGUUGGUGGGGUAAAGGCCUACAAAGGCGACGAUCCGUAACUGGUCGGGGAGGAUGCUCAGUCGCACUGGAGCGAGGACACGGUCGAUCGGCGUGCGGGAGGCAGCAGUGGGUAUUAUUGGACAAGUGGCGAAGGCCUGGUACAUCCAAGCCGCGUGUGUGAAGAAGGUCUUCGGAGUGUAAAGCACUUUAAGUUGGGAGGCGGGACCAACAGAAGAAGGACCGGCUAACUUCGUGCCAGCAGCCGCGGUAAUUC
rnacentral:rRNA from 1 species